rnacentral:tRNA from 1 species
GCCAGCAUGGUGCAGUGGUUUGAGUGCUGGACUAUGACUCUGGAGAUCAGGGUUCAAUUCCUUGCUAGGCC